rnacentral:rRNA from 1 species
GACGAACGCUGGCGGCGUGCCUAAUACAUGCAAGUAGAACGCAGUUGCGAACGGGUGAGUAACGCGUAGGUAACUUCCUGGUAGCGGGGGAUAACUAUUGGAAACGAUAGCUAAUACCGCAUACUACCAGAUGGACCUGCGUUGUAUUAGCUAGUUGGUGGGGUAACGGCUUACCAAGGCGACGAUACAUAGCCGACCUGAGAGGGUGAUCGGCCACACUGGGACUGAGACACGGCCCAGACUCCUACGGGAGGCAGCAGUAGGGAAUCUUCGGCAAUGGACGGAAGUCUGACCGAGCAACGCCGCGUGAGUGAAGAAGGUUUUCGGAUCGUAAAACUCUGUUGUUAGAGAAGCGGUAUCUAACCAGAAAGCCACGGCUAACUACGUGCCAGCAGCCGCGGUAAUAC